rnacentral:rRNA from 1 species
AUGUGUAUACCAAAAGAUCAUGGAGGAAUGAGUAUUCGAGAUAUUCGUUGUUUCAAUUUGGCUCCGUUAGCCAAACAAGGGUGGUGUCUGCUUGAUAACAUUGAAUCCCUAUGUGCCAUCAUAUUGAGAAUUAAAUGUUUCCCGAAUGGCGACUUAAUGUGCGAGUUGAAAAAAGGGUCUUCCUUUACUUGGCAAAGCAUUAUGGCGGAAGUGGAUUCUCUAAGAAAUGGAUAUAUUUGUAGAGUUGGAAAUGGAGAAAAUAUUGAUAUUUGGAAAGAUGCUUGGAUCCCACACGGGGCAAAUAGGAAAAUUAUUACCCCUAGAAGAGGGCAACUUAUAUCAAAAGUCGUUGAUCUUAUCGAUGAUGUCACCAAUUUAUGGGAUGAAGACUUAAUGAGACAAACGUUGUGACCAAUCGAUACUCAAAGGGUGCUCGCCAUCCCCCUCCCUAUGCAUAACAUGUCGGACUUCAUUGCUUGGAGUUUUACAAACAACAGAUGUUUCACAGUUCGCUCAGCUUAUUUGGAGGAAUGGAACAAACAAUAUGAGAGAAAAUUGCAACAAACAAAUGGCAUGGGUAGAACAAAUGUCAAUACUAUCUGGAGUAAGAGUUGGAAGUUAUCUUGUCCGGAAAAGGUGAAGAUUUUUAUUUGGCGUACUUUACAUGGAACUCCUUUGUGUCGUGUUACACUUGCAAAUAGACAUAUGAAAGUUUUGGACAUAUGCCCAUCAUGUUCUAAUGGGCUGGAAGAUACAAAUCACAUGUUAUUUUUAUGUCGAAAGGCGAAAGAGGUUUGGGAAAGAUUGGGUUUGCACGAGGCCAUUAAGAAAGCUUGUGCAAUCGAUCGUGCGGGAGAGGCAGUCUUUGAGUUCCUUCUUCUUAUGCCAGACCAUGAGCUAUCUAUAGUGGGCACCCAGAAUGUAUGUGAACUGAUUGUCAUUGCAACUUGGUACUUAUGGUGGGACAGACGUACACUAGUCCAUCAGGAAAAAUCCUAA